rnacentral:rRNA from 1 species
UACGAAGGGGGCUAGCGUUGUUCGGCGUUACUGGGCGUAAAGCGCACGUAGGCGGAUUCUUAAGUCUGGGGUGAAAGCCCGGAGCUCAACUCCGGAACUGCCUUGGAUACUGGGAGUCUCGAGGAUGGAAGAGGUCAGUGGAAUGCCGAGUGUAGAGGUGAAAUUCGUAGAUAUUCGGCGGAACACCAGUGGCGAAGGCGACUGGCUGGUCCAUUUCUGACGCUGAGGUGCGAAAGUGUGUGGAGCAAACAGG